AAAACAACCUAAAGUCAUUGAUUCAGAUGGCAUUUGAGCGUAAGGAACUGAAGUGGAAUGGGAAUUUUCAGUUUCUUGACUGGUUCUUAAUGAAGGAAAUAGCUAAUAAUCCGUGGAUUUUAAUAAAAGGUGUCAGACACUAGAAAACAUGCUUUUUCAAGUGCGUUUUGGAUUUUCUCUUUUUAUCUAAUGAAUUUUAAUGAGAAAUGGCGUUUGUUCUCG
rnacentral:misc_RNA from 1 species